UACGAACCGUACAAACGUUGUUCGGAAUUACUGGGCGUAAAGGGCGCGUAGGCGGCCUGUUAAGUCGGACGUGAAAUCCCUCGGCUCAACCGGGGAACUGCGUCCGAUACUGGCGGGCUUGAAUUCGGGAGAGGGAUGUGGAAUUCCAGGUGUAGCGGUGAAAUGCGUAGAUAUCUGGAGGAACACCGGUGGCGAAGGCGGCAUCCUGGACCGACAUUGACGCUGAGGCGCGAAAGCCAGGGGAGCAAACGGG
rnacentral:rRNA from 1 species